UACGGGGGGGGCAAGCGUUGUUCGGAAUUACUGGGCGUAAAGGGCUCGUAGGCGGCCAUCUAAGUCGGACGUGAAAUCCCUCGGCUUAACCGAGGAACUGCCUGUCAGACUGGGAGGCUUGAGACCGGGAGAGGUGAGUGGAAUUCCCAGUGUAGCGGUGAAAUGCGUAGAUAUUAGGAAGAACACCAGUGGCGAAGGCGGCUCACUGGCCCGGUACUGACGCUGAGGCGCGAAAGCGUGGGGAGCAAACAGG
rnacentral:rRNA from 1 species